rnacentral:snRNA from 1 species
AAAAUUGUGUAGACUAUGAUU